rnacentral:tRNA from 2 species
GGAGAGGUGUCCGAGUUGGCCGAAGGAGCACGACUGGAAAUCGUGUCCUCGCCGAAACGCGGGGCGCGGGUUCGAAUCCCGCCCUCUCCG